GAGUUGGAUAAGUACCUUGCUGAACAACUUGAGAAUGGUGGUGAGGAUGAUGAGUUUGAUAUACUUAAUUGGUGGAAAACAAAUGCUCAAAGACUUCCCAUCCUUUCAAGCUUGGCUCGUGACGUAUUGGCUAUACCUAUUUCCACUGUUGCCUCUGAAUCAGCGUUCAGCACGGGUGGUCGAGUUCUUGAUAGUUAUAGGAGUUCUUUAACUCCUAGAGUUGUACAAGCUCUCAUUUGUGCUCAAGAUUGGCUAAGGAAUGAAACUGAAGACUCAAGUGAUGGUGAAAUUGAGUACGAAACUGGAGAGAUUGAUAAAGUUGACUUGGAAUUUUCAAAGAUUUGUUUGGAGCCUGUGAUUGAUCAAUAGAAGUUGCCAAUUUGGAAGAGUUCUACUAUCGUAAGGUUUGAAGGAAUUGAAGAUUUGAAG